AUUGGGCUGAUGAGUCCCAAAUAGGACGAAAUGCGCGUCCAGAAU
rnacentral:hammerhead_ribozyme from 1 species